CCUUGUACACACCGCCCGUCACACCAUGGGAGUGGGUUGCUCCAGAAGGCGUUAGUCUAACCGCAAGGGGGACGACGCCCACGGAGUGGUCCAUGACUGGGGUGAAGUCGUAACAAGGUACCC
rnacentral:rRNA from 1 species